rnacentral:rRNA from 1 species
AUUGAACGCUGGCGGCAUGCCUUACACAUGCAAGUCGAACGGUAACAGGUUAAGCUGACGAGUGGCGAACGGGUGAGUAAUGUAACGGAACGUGCCCAGUCGUGGGGGAUAACUGCUCGAAAGAGCAGCUAAUACCGCAUCCGACCUGAGGGUGAAAAUGGGGGAUCGCAAGACCUCGCGCGAUUGGAGCGGCCGAUAUCAGAUUAGGUAGUUGGCGGGGUAAAAGCCCACCAAGCCAACGAUCUGUAGCUGGUCUGAGAGGACGACCAGCCACACUGGGACUGAGACACGGCCCAGACUCCUACGGGAGGCAGCAGUGGGGAAUUUUGGACAAUGGACGCAAGUCUGAUCCAGCCAUGCCGCGUGCGGGAAGGAGGCCUUCGGGUUGUAAACUGCUAUUGUACGGAACGAAAAGCCCUGGGUUAAUACCCUGGGGUCAUGACGGUACCGUAAGAAUAAGCACCGGCUAACUACGUGCCAGCAGCCGCCGUAAGAC